AGGUUCCGCUCUUUUCUCUGAGGCGAAGCGGCUGACUCCUCAUGCUCAGGCCUUGACACGCUCCGCGGGAGCUGGGCCUGAGGACGACCUGAGAGACCGAUGUAGCGCUGUCACCAAGCCCGCGCAUUCCCAUUACCAGCCGUCAGGCUUUGAACUAGUGUGCCUCGCCGCACGCUCCUCCUUCGCACGGCCCGUUUCUGAGACGAAUUCUCUUCAGGGGCCAGACAGGCCAGACGUAGAUGAACCUCUGAGGGAACGCAGUUUAGGUUUCAGAUGCACCCGAGGUUACGGGAAUGAGAGCAGCCUGGGAGUCCUGGCUGAGAAUAGUCCUCAGGUUGUGACAGGAAAGCCAAAACAAGAAGCAGUCGAAGAAACUUCGGCUGUGGCCUGCCUGAAAGGGCGGCAUUCCACCACAUACUUUUAACACAUAGUUUAAGAGAAUUUAGCACUUACUGUGCUGAAUGCUAGGGAAAUACGGUGAAUUCUUUUUAAAAAAUCUGGUCUCUAAGGACACUGUUCCUCCAUUCCAGCUUCCCAUUUCCCAGCUGGUACCUUGGACAGUAUCACCGUAAGAGGUUGCACCGUCGCCAAAAACCGCCAAAGCAGGAUCCAGAAGGGUCAGAAGUUGCUGAGACAAGAAAAACAAUUUUACCGGAAUUACCAGUUUUCGUGACUUCAAGAUUCCAUCUAAUCCUAAGUAUUUUAAAUGAUUUGUUGGUACAGUUGUUUCUCUUAAAAGCAGUGAAGGUAACUGGAUUACUGAACAGUCUGAUGGAACCAUCAGCAUGUGACUGAAGGAGGCAGAUGUUCUUGGUUAAUCUUAACACGCCAGUGAAUGUCCUUCCUACCUAAUGGAAGGUGACACCUGCUGGGACUCUUCCGCAUCGAGAUGGGGGAUACUGAUACAACAACUGCCAGCUGCAAGCACCAUGCUAGUGUGUUUAUUCAAUUUAGUGAGCACCUUCCGCAGCAAAGUCCAGGUACUAGACACUGUGGCAGAUUGAUCAUGCUCCUAACAUGUUGAGCAUGAAAUGCGAAAGAGGAAAAACUGUGCAAAUGGAAGAUGUCUGCUAGCAGAGUUUAAUAUUACAUAGAUGCUUUGGAAUUUUCUCUGACAUUUAUUCUUAGAACUUGGAAGACAUCCUGAGGCGUGAUUUGAGGCUUUUACAUUGCGUAAUGCCUUGAAAAUGUAACACUUCAAAGCAGUGAGGAAAGGGACAUUUAUGGCUCUCCUGUUCUGUGCGGAGCACUUUGCUAAAUCCUGUAUCAUUCCUAUUUCCAAUAUGAGGAAAUUUAGGCUCAGAGAAAUGUAUAAGUUUGUUCAACCACACAGCCUUUGAUGGUGGAGCUGAAAUGGAAACCCACAUUUCACCAAUGACCAGAUUCAUCCUUACUCUUUCCUUCUGUAAUAUAAUGCUGCUGCUCAAAAACUGCCCUUAAAUUGUAAAAUUUCCAAAGCUAUAUACUUAUAUUAUUUUGACAAGUUUAACCUGACACUAAAUGGUCCUAGAAAUGAUGUCUUGAUUUUCUAGUAUACUAUAUAGUAUAUCUAUUAAUAGGAUUAAACUUUAAGAUUGCUUCAUUAACUGUAUAAACAAUGCCACUAAGUGAAAAAUAUUUUCUAACUCAAUAUGUAUAUAUUGUAUCCUAGAAAAUGAGCUAAUAAUGUAAAUUUCAGUAUCUGUACAACUUCUCUUAAAAUGAACUUUUUUGUUUAUGAUUUUAAAACAUUUUUCAGAUAUGGUAUAUUAAUUAGAUGGAGCAUAAAUCUGAAACUGCUGUCAGAGUCAUCUAAGUGUGGAGCGUGGCCAAGAACUUUGGAACCAGAAUGACCAAGUUUAAAUCCCAGCUCUACCACCUUUUAGCUGUGUGUUCCUGGGCAAGCUACUUUACCUCUCUGGGCCUCAUUUUUCUGCUAAUAAAGUGGAGAUGAUAAUAUAAGCUAGUCUCGAGUAUUUUGGUGAGGAUGCGAUGUGUUAACAUAUGUAAAGCACAUACCAGUACCUAUAUGAAUAUUGGCUACAGUCACUGGGUGAAUUGCAGAUACAUUAUUUGAUGAUAUCUAAAAUCUUAAAUGUGUCACUUUCGCAGGUAUGGCUUAUGGACAAUUAAAGCUAAAUACAAAGAGGACUUUACAACAAUAGGAACUGCAUAUUUUGAGAUUAAAAAUCUUGGUAAUCUCUCAUAAAUUACUGAGAUUUCUAAUGUAUGUUUUUACUAAACCAUUCUCAACAACUUUGUUGACCAAGAACUCAUUAAGAAAUAAAGGGCACUGAGGGGUGGGGACAGAGGUGACCUGGGAGUCAGGCCACAGACCCGGGAUUCACGGCCCGGCUCACCUCAGUUCAGUUACGGACUCUCUGGACCCUAUUUUCUUAUCGUUCUGCAAAGGUCAAGUCCUAUAAGAAGGUAGGAUCAGAUAAUGUUCUUGCAAGAUCCAUGGUUCUUUGACUGUCUUCAGGAUGACCUAGUCUGAGCUCCUCAUCUAAAGAUGAGUCCAGUUGAUUGAUGGAGUUGCACAAAUCAUUUUUAACACAUCAGAAGCAAUUGAAAACCUGUCAUAUAUAAGUCUAAAAGAGUUAAAUAACAAGUAUCUUAGUAUUUUUGUGGAAGUCCAAGAAAGUACAGUCACUGGAUCUGGUUGCUACUUCACUUUUCCUGAAACCUGGGAUUCCAUAUUCCAUAAAGGUUACUGCUGCUGCUGCUGCUGGUUAGAACUGAUGACCCAGACCUUCCAGAAGAAUAUCAGGCCAGCAAUGACUAUCAAGCAAUAGCCUACUCAUCACACAGCCAGAGUUUCCCUUCGCUUAGCUGGACAGACAGUUACAAGAGUUUGCUUGUGGGAGAACAUCUGAGCAUAACGGUUACCCCUAAAAGUCCAUGUGUUGGCAAGAUUACACACUACAAUUACGUGAUGUCCUCUAAGGGCAGAGUUGUACGCUUCGGCACAGAGAGGAAACUCCCAGGUUCAUCUUAGCCACCUCUAAGCCUUUCCGUGACUCCGCACAUGGUUCCUGCCGCCUGUGCGCUGGCCUACUAUCUCGCCACGGGAAAGCAGCAGCAGCAGGGGCGUCUGACCCACGCUGCCUACACGCUGCUGAAGAAAAGUGAGGCAGCCAGCCCCAGUUAAUUUCAGAUCUGCUG